AUGAGAUGAAAUUAUCGUUUGGACAUGCGAUUCCACGUCGAUUUCAUCUCAAGA
rnacentral:pre_miRNA from 1 species